rnacentral:rRNA from 1 species
CUUUUUUAUAGACUGGAUUUAUAUAUUUAUAACUAAAAUUAGGUUAAAUUUUUUUUUUUCAAAGUUAAAUAUUUAGAUUGAUGAAAGAUGUAUAAUAGUGACAGGGAUUAGAUACCCCAUUAAUGUACAUUGUAGCUUUGUCUUAGUUAAUAUAACUAAAAUAAUUUGGCAGUGAGCGACUCUUUUUAGGGGAAGGUGUGGUGUAAAGGAUGUUCCGCCUAAUAAUUUACUUUCGUUAUGUUGGUGUAUAUCUGGUUUAAUAUUAUCGUUGAGUAAGUGAGUUUGUGUAGUUUUAUUUAAGCCAAGUCUAUGUGCUGCUUAUGAAAGUAUUCAUGCGUUACAUUUAUAAGGUUUUGGUUGUAAUACUAAAAUAUUUAGGACUUAAAAGUAAUGUUCAAUAAGUUUGUGAGUGUGAAGUAAGUUUAGCUCAUGUACACACCGCCCGUCACCCUCGAUGCAUAUUGAGGUAAGUCGUAACAAGGUAAUU